UGCGAAUGGCUCAUUAAAUCAGUUAUCGUUUAUUUGAUAGUACCUUACUACUUGGAUACCUGUGGUAAUUCUAGAGCUAAUACAUGCUAAAAACCCCAACUUCGGGAGGGGUGUAUUUAUUAGAUAAAAAACCAAUGCCCCUCGGGGCUCCUUGGUGAUUCAUAAUAACUUCUCAGAUCGCAUGGCCUUGCGCCGGCGACGGUUCAUUCAAAUUUCUGCCCUAUCAACUUUCGAUGGUAAGGUAGUGGCUUACCAUGGUUUCAACGGGUAACGGGGAAUUAGGGUUCGAUUCCGGAGAGGGAGCCGGAGGAACGGCUACCACAUCCAAGGAAGGCAGCAGGCGCGCAAAUUACCCAAUUCCGAUACGGAGAGGUAGUGACAAUAAAUACUGAUACAGGGCUCUUUUGGGUCUUGUAAUUGGAAUGAGUACAAUUUAAACCUCUUAACGAGGAACAAUUGGAGGGCAAGUCUGGUGCCAGCAGCCGCGGUAAUUCCAGCUCCAAUAGCGUAUAUUAAAGUUGUUGCAGUUAAAAAGCUCGUAGUUGAACCUUUGGCCUGGCUGGCAGGUCCGCCUCACCGCGUGCACUUGUCCGGCCGGGCCUUUUCUUCUGGGCAACCGCAUGCCCUUCACUGGGUGUGUUGGGGACCAGGACUUUUACUUUGAAAAAAUUAGAGUGUUCAAAGCAGGCCUUUGCUCGAAUACGUUAGCAUGGAAUAAUAGAAUAGGACGUGCGGUCCUAUUUUGUUGGUUUCUAGGACCGCCGUAAUGAUUAAUAGGGACAGUCGGGGGCAUCAGUAUUCAAUUGUCAGAGGUGAAAUUCUUGGAUUUAUUGAAGACUAACUACUGCGAAAGCAUUUGCCAAGGAUGUUUUCAUUAAUCAGUGAACGAAAGUUAGGGGAUCGAAGACGAUCAGAUACCGUCGUAGUCUUAACCAUAAACUAUGCCGACUAGGGAUCGGGCGGUGUUUCUAUUGUGACCCGCUCGGCACCUUACGAGAAAUCAAAG
rnacentral:rRNA from 1 species